rnacentral:rRNA from 1 species
AUUGAACGCUGGCGGCAUGCCUUACACAUGCAAGUCGAACGGUAACAGGUCUUCGGACGCUGACGAGUGGCGAACGGGUGAGUAAUGCAUCGGAACGUGCCCAGUCGUGGGGGAUAACUGCUCGAAAGAGCAGCUAAUACCGCAUACGACCUGAGGGUGAAAGCGGGGGACCGUAAGGCCUCGCGCGAUUGGAGCGGCCGAUGUCAGAUUAGCUAGUUGGUGGGGUAAAGGCCUACCAAGGCAACGAUCUGUAGUUGGUCUGAGAGGACGACCAGCCACACUGGGACUGAGACACGGCCCAGACUCCUACGGGAGGCAGCAGUGGGGAAUUUUGGACAAUGGGCGCAAGCCUGAUCCAGCAAUGCCGCGUGCAGGAAGAAGGCCUUCGGGUUGUAAACUGCUUUUGUCAGGGAAGAAAUCGUCUGGGCUAAUACCCCGGGAGGAUGACGGUACCUGAAGAAUAAGCACCGGCUAACUACGUG